CAAAAAUCAUUAUUUGCANUAAUGAUUUUUCUGUAGGUGAACCUCGCGGAAAAUCAUUAUUUCAUUAAUGAUUUUUCCGCAGGUUCACCUACAGAAAAAUCAUUAUUGCAUUAAUGAUUUUUCUGUAGGUGAACCUGCGGAAAAAUCAUUAUUUCAUUAAUGAUUUUUCCGCAGGUUCACCUACAGAAAAAUCAUUAUUUCAAUAAUGAUUUUUCUGUAGGUGAACCUGCGGAAAAAUCAUUAAUUCAUUAAUGAUUUUUCCGCAGGUUCACCUACAGAAAAAUCAUUAUUUCAUUAAUGAUUUUUCUGUAGGUGAACCUGCGGAAAAAUCAUUAUUUAAAUAAUGAUUUUUCCGCAGGUUCACCUACAGAAAAAUCAUUAUUUCAAUAAUGAUUUUUCCGCAGGUUGAACCUGCGGAAAAAUCAUUAUUUCAAUAAUGAUUUUUCCGCAGGUUCACCUACAGAAAAAUCAUUAUUUCAAUAAUGAUUUUUCUGNAGGUGAACCUGCGGAAAAAUCAUUAUUUCAAUAAUGAUUUUUCCGCAGGUUCACCUACAGAAAAAUCAUUAAUUCAUUAAUG
rnacentral:misc_RNA from 1 species